rnacentral:lncRNA from 11 species
AUUAAUUGCUAGUCUUGUUUUGAUUAGAAUGAUUCAGUUUCAUGACACAUUAAAUGGAGUAGAAAGGAAGGGCCAUAGGACAGUGCGGAUGGGAUGCCUUUCCAGGGGUUCAUGACACAAACAACGACACAGUGUUCCAGGCUACCAAGGUUGCGGAUAGAGAUGAGAUGAAUGGGAAGAAGAUCAAACAGCAAAAGGGCUUGAUGUGUUCAGGUCCUGAACUGGUGCUUGGAAGCUGUGACUGUCUGGAUGAG